GGGUGAAGAAACGAAAAUCCUAAUAUGAUAAAUGAUUCUAGUGGAUGCUGCGGUCUCAUUGAUGUAUGGCCCCUCAUCUAACAGUUAUUGAUGACACAUAUAUCAAUGCAUGAAUAAUUCUUUGUCCAGAUGCUUUUUCAAGCAUGUUGUAGUGACUUGAUCUCUAAGUUCUAUAGCCUCACCUAACAGUUAUUGGUAUAUUUCUUAGUUA
rnacentral:lncRNA from 1 species